rnacentral:lncRNA from 1 species
GAAUUAUACGGUGUGGCUAGUCCACCUAAUCUUUAUAAGCUUGAUUUGUCGAUUCGGUUCGGUUCCGGUUUCGGUUCGGUUUGGUUCCGGUUCCGAAAACAGCUAAUCCGAGAACCGAACCGAUCUAAUCGGUUCAACAAUUUUUAGGACCAGGACCGAACCAAAGAGCUACCAGAACCGAACCAACCCAAUCCAAUGAGGCCGGAUUGGUUCGGUUCUCGGAUUUUUCGGUUCAUUUGUGCACCCC